AACAGGUAUUUGGAUAUGCUCUUCACAAAAAUGGAACAACUACUAAACUAUCAUAUCCUUUGCAACGCUUUGAUCUAGAUGUGGCUGGAAGAAGUUCUCACAAUGGACGUUUCAUUAAAGAUGCGUGAAAAAGCUGCUUCUUUACCCAAACUUCAAAGUUACUUUUCACUUUCCUAUGCCAUAGAUGUUCAAAAUUAUUUACUUCAUACUGAAUAAUCGUUUUAUUGCUUUCAACAGCCAAUAAAAUUUCCCUUAUUUUUAUUCUAGUGUAAGAUUGGAGGAAGGGACAGUAACAUCCCUACUUGAAGUAAAGGGGACAAUUACGGGUGUGCAAUACAAAACUAAAACUGGUCAAGAAUUUGCUGCUUGUGCUCCACUUGCAAUAGUAUGCAAUGGUUGUUUUUCAAAUUUGCGACUUUCUCUCUGCAAACCUAAGGUUGAUAUACCCUUUUGUUUUGUUGCAUUGAUCUUAGAGAAUUGUGAGCUUCCAUACACAAAUCAUGGACAUGUUAUUCUUGCAGACCCUUCACCAAUCUUGUUCUAUCGUGGUAGUAGCUCUGAAAUUCGAUGCUUGGUUGACGUACCUGGCCAAAAACUACCUUCCAUUUCAAAUGGUGAAAUGGCCAGCCACUUGAAAAUUAUGAUGGCUCCCCAGGCAUUCAAAGUUUACCAAGCAAGCUAAUGCUUUUUCUUUUUUUUUUUUUUGUUUUUUUUGUUUUUUUUUGGCAUUGAUACUUGUAGUUAGUAGUUCUAGGGAGCUUUCCAAAAUAACUCCACUUAUGAUGCUUUAAAGCUUUUGAUAUGAAAUUACUCAAAUAUUUGACAAGUCAUUUAUCUUUGAAUCGUUACACUAAUCAAGAACUUCUAUAUGUGUUUCAGAUUCCUCAAGAGCUACGUGAUGCAUUUGUUUUUGCAAUUAACAAACAUAAGAACAAUGCCUAAUAGAAGCAUGCCUGCUGCUCCUUAACCCUCUCCAGGUGCUCUUCUGUUAGGAGAUGCAUUGACCAUGAGGCACCCUUUAACAGGUGGAGGAAUGACUGUUGCACUAUCAGAUAUAGUUGUACUAAGCAAUGACCGAAGCAAUGCAUAUUCCCUUUGCAAGUAUCUUGAAUCUUUCUAUACGCUGCGUAAGGUUGCAUCAGGAAUCAUUUUCCCUAUCAUAAGGGCAGAAGGAGUUUGACAAAUGUUCUUCCCGACAACCUUAACAAAUUUAAAAUCUCAAGUUGUCUGACAACGAGAAAUUCGAAGAAUUAAAAUCAAUGAAAGUCGGUAGCAAUGCAUCUUUAUUUCAAAUGAGCUAAUGAUUUGGAGGAUGAUUUGUGUUAAAUUUGCAACAGUUUUUCUUUUAUUGCUAUCAAAAGUUCCCACAUGUAAUUAUGCCCAUAUUUUUGU